rnacentral:rRNA from 1 species
UACGAAGGGGGCUAGCGUUGCUCGGAAUCACUGGGCGUAAAGCGCGCGUAGGCGGCUUUGCAAGUCGGGUGUGAAAUCCCCAGGCUUAACCUGGGAACUGCAUUCGAGACUGCAUUGCUAGAGUAUGGGAGAGGGUAGUGGAAUUCCCGGUGUAGUGGUGAAAUGCGCAGAUAUCAGGAGGAACAAGCCGAUGGCGAAGGCAGGUCUCUGGGCCACUACUG